GAUGAACGCUGGCGGCGUGCCUAAUACAUGCAAGUCGAGCGAACAGACGAGGCUCUUGCUCCUCUGAUGUUAGCGGCGGACGGGUGAGUAACACGUGGAUAACCUACCUAUAAGACUGGGAUAACUUCGGGAAACCGGAGCUAAUACCGGAUAACAUGUUGAACCGCAUGGUUCAACAGUGAAAGACGUUCUUGCUGUCACUUAUAGAUGGAUCCGCGCCGGAUUAGCUAGUUGGUAGGGUAACGGCUUACCAAGGCCACGAUGCGUAGCCGACCUGAGAGGGUGAUCGGCCACACUGGAAAUGAGACACGGUCAAGACUACGACGGGAGGAAGCAGGGGGGAAUAUUGAACAAGGGGGGAAAGCAGGAGGGAGAAAGGAGGAGUGAGUGAAGAAGGUAUGAGGAUGGAAAAGCUCUUUAAGUGGGGAAGAAGAGAAGUAAGAGAAAAAAUGGCUGUCUUGACGGUACCAACAGAAAAAGCACCGGCAAACUACGUG
rnacentral:rRNA from 1 species